rnacentral:rRNA from 1 species
AACGCUAGCUACAGGCUUAACACAUGCAAGUCGAGGGGCAGCAUCAUCAAAGCUUGCUUUGAUGGAUGGCGACCGGCGCACGGGUGAGUAACACGUAUCCAACCUGCCGACAACACUGGGAUAGCCUUUCGAAAGAAAGAUUAAUACCGGAUGGCAUAGUUUUCCCGCAUGGGAUAAUUAUUAAAGAAUUUCGGUUGUCGAUGGGGAUGCGUUCCAUUAGGCAGUUGGCGGGGUAACGGCCCACCAAACCUACGAUGGAUAGGGGUUCUGAGAGGAAGGUCCCCCACAUUGGAACUGAGACACGGUCCAAACUCCUACGGGAGGCAGCAGUGAGGAAUAUUGGUCAAUGGACGAGAGUCUGAACCAGCCAAGUAGCGUGAAGGAUGACUGCCCUAUGGGUUGUAAACUUCUUUUAUACGGGAAUAAAGUGAGCCACGUGUGGCUUUUUGUAUGUACCGUAUGAAUAAGGAUCGGCUAACUCCGUGCCAGCAGCCGCGGUAAUACGGAGGAUCCGAGCGUUAUCCGGAUUUAUUGGGUUUAAAGGGAGCGUAGGCGGGUUGUUAAGUCAGUUGUGAAAGUUUGCGGCUCAACCGUAAAAUUGCAGUUGAUACUGGCGACCUUGAGUGCAACAGAGGUAGGCGGAAUUCGUGGUGUAGCGGUGAAAUGCUUAGAUAUCACGAAGAACUCCGAUUG